rnacentral:rRNA from 1 species
GAUGAACGCUGGCGGCGUGCCUAAUACAUGCAAGUCGAGCGAAUGGAUUAAGAGCUUGCUCUUAUGAAGUUAGCGGCGGACGGGUGAGCAACACGUGGGUAACCUGCCCAUAAGACUGGGAUAACUCCGGGAAACCGGGGCUAAUACCGGAUAACAUUUUGAACCGCAUGGUUCGAAAUUGAAAGGCGGCUUCGGCUGUCACUUAUGGAUGGACCCGCGUCGCAUUAGCUAGUUGGUGAGGUAACGGCUCACCAAGGCAACGAUGCGUAGCCGACCUGGGAGGUUGAUGGGCCACACUGGGACUGAGACACGGCCCAGACUCCUACGGGAGGCAGCAGUAGGGAAUCUUCCGCAAUGGACGAAAGUCUGACGGAGCAACGCCGCGUGAGUGAUGAAGGCUUCCGGGUCGUAAAACUCUGUUGUUAGGGAAGAACAAGUGCUAGUUGAAUAAGCUGGCACCUUGACGGUACCUAACCAGAAAGCCACGGCUAACUACGUGCCAGCAGCCGCCGUAA